rnacentral:rRNA from 1 species
ACGGGAGGCAGCAGUGGGGAAUAUUGCACAAUGGGGGAAACCCUGAUGCAGCAACGCCGCGUGCGGGAAGACGGUCUUCGGAUUGUAAACCGCUUUUCUUAGUGAGGAAGAAGUGACGGUAGCUAAGGAAUAAGCAUCGGCUAACUACGUGCCAGCAGCCGCGGUAAUACGUAGGAUGCGAGCGUUGUCCGGAUUUACUAGGUGUAAAGGGAGCGCAGGCGGGACUGCAAGUUGGAUGUGAAAUGUCGAGGCUUAACCUCGGAACUGCAUCCAAAACUGUAGUUCUUGAGUGGAGUAGAGGCAAGUGGAAUUCCUAGUGUAGCGGUGAAAUGCGUAGACAUUAGGAGGAACACCAGUGGCGAAGGCGGCUUACUGGACUGUAACUGACGUUGAGGCUCGAAAGCGUGGGGAGCAAACAGGAUUAGAUACCCUGGUA